GUAAUAGCUCAGUGGUAGAGCACGUGCUUAGCAUGCACGAGGUCCUGGGUUCAAUCCCCAGCACUUACU
rnacentral:tRNA from 1 species